AUUGAACGCUGGCGGCAGGCCUAACACAUGCAAGUCGAGCGAGCGGCGGACGGGUGAGUAAUGUAUGGGGACUGCCCGAUAGAGGGGGAUAACUACUGGAAACGGUAGCUAAUACCGCAUACUAUCGGAUAACCCAUAUGGGAUUAGCUAGUAGGUGAGGUAAUGGCUCACCUAGGCGACGAUCCCUAGCUGGUCUGAGAGGAUGAUCAGCGAGACUGGGACGGAGUCCCAGCCGCUACUCCUACGGGGGCAGCGAGGGGGAAUAUUGCACAAUGGGCGCAGGUCUGGUGCAGGCAUUCAGAGUGUAUGAAGAAGGUCCUAGGGUUGUAGAGUUUUUUCAGUCUGGAGGAGUUUCCGACAGAAGAAGCACCGGCUAACUCCGUUCCAGCAGCCGCGGGAAUAC
rnacentral:rRNA from 1 species